AAAUAAAAAAAAUUGUUUUCGGUCAAUAUUCUCUCAAAAUACAUGUUAUUUUUAUGCAAAUAAGAGCCGGCCGGUGUGGCCGAGCGGUUCUAGGCACUUCAGUCUGGAACUGCGCGACCCCUACUGCCACAGGUUCGAAUCCUGCCUCGGCCAUGGAUGUGUGUGAUGUCCUUAGGUUAGUUAGGUUUAAGUAGUUCUAAGUUCUAGGGGACUGAUGACCUCAGAUGUUAAGUCCCAUAGUGCUCAGAGCCAUUUUUGCGAAUAAGAAUUUAAAUAUCAUUAAAUAUCAAGACAUUGGCUCUGCUUACAUAUAUUAAAUGAGUGUGAACUGACGUUACUAGUGACUUUGUGUACUUUUUCCCACAGAUAGGUUAGUUAGUAAUUAUUGAAAUGUGUUUACAAAUUUCAGGAAACAAUGGAAAGCAAUUACAUGAAGCCUGAUAUUGGAAACCUUCCAAACUAUCACACAUUUAUAACUUUCACAGCACCAUUUUGCAACGAAGUUAGUCUACGUUCCUCUGCGGAAUAGUAUGAGAGCUGUGCAAAGCCGGCACGGUAGCUCAGUGUGUUCGGUCAGAGGGCUGUGUCCUCUCUGUAAUAAAAAAAUUGAGUCAAGGAAUCAACGAUCAACUUGAACGGAUGUCUAUUAUGAACUCACUUUCCAACCAGAUGCGUCUGCUGGUGAUUCUUUAGUAACACAAUCACUAAAUCCAAAGCUAAAACAGCUAAAUAUGUUUAAGAUAACAAAUUAUAGGUGUACAUAAACCACAGCUCACCGAACGACAGGGCCAGACCGGAAUCCAAAACUUCGCGGUACAAUUGUCGUAAAAUCGGUGGGAGGACUGUUCGGUAACAAGUCUCAGAACCUUACUGAAUAGUAUAUUUCGAUAAAAAACCGAAAAUGACAUCACUACCGAGACUAACCUACUACACCGAUCGGUAUGAACGAUAUAGAAUAGGGCCCCUGGUGUGAACCGUACCGUAAGCGCCUCACCCUCACAGCCGGUGCUGGGUAGAUGUGAAAUAAACCUAAGAAUACCUGUAAUGUGCUGAACCUUAUGGCUAUCAACCUCAAUGCAACCUUGAGAUCGGCUAACAAGACUCUGAUGCACCCUGGUAAAUAUCCCUGGUGUGUUUUUUUAAUAGAAGGCUGCUACAUAGAGAUAAGAAUGUUUCUAUCAUUCUCCAUUUUCUUGAUUUCUUCGUGUACGGUCUCUUCCUUGGUCAAAGGAAUCAAAAAUCCUGCACCAGUAAUACAGUUGGCUGAAAGAUUCUCAACCACAAGGAAUGUGCUGUAAAAGCUCCAAUAUUUCCAGCUGAGGCUGCCAACUAAUAUUCUUUGGCCUGGUGCCUAUCACACCAGAAUCCUACAAUUCUGGAGUGGUAAUGUGGGAGGUGUACCCACCUAACAUAUUUGUUUAAACAAAUCCCAGAACUGUCAUUCUCCGAUGGAGUGGUGUCUAUUACUACUACAGUACAUACUUUACCUGCUUCAGCUUCAAAUGGAACCUGUACCACUGUAUAAAUAGACGGGCAAUUUUAGCUUGGGACAGAGUGUGCCAAGUCAGUCGGGCGUCGGGACGGACCUGUGCUGGUCUUCGCUUAUAGGGGCCAGUUUGGCAGCCAUGUUAUAAGUAUUCUGCAUAAACUUGUAUUCUGUUUUCUAUGAACUUGUUCGGGCUAUAUUCUGCCUCAGGGGACACAGCACCGGGGCAGGACGGAACAGCAGUCUGGAAUAUGGAGAUCACACGGUCUGCCUGAAAGAGGCCAAUGACAGCAGUCUGCAGCGCGUCCAGGAGGGGCUCGGUUCCACUCGAGUCUACGGGCCACUUUCGCUUCCCACCUGGCGUACUGGGAUCCGGGUGAGGUGUAUGCUGUGGGAGGCACAGCAACACUGCAGCAGCGCCAGAGACAACGGCUGGUGUUGCCAUUCGGCAAGCACCACUAGCGGCAAGUUGAAGCACAACAUCCAGGAGGGCACGGCAGCAGGAGGGCGUGCAGCACCCGGCCCAAGGGUCACAGGUGACCAGCACACCCACCUUUGUCCCAUGGUCGGACAGAGCAGGCCAAACGGGGUGGAGAGCGGCGAGGUCCAGGGACUGUAGCAGUCUCUGAAACCACGGGCAAUGGAGCGGCGCCAGACGAAACGACCUGGCAGGCAGCGACCAGGAGAGCGCAGCCGAAUUUCAUCGGCUGGUGACCUUGAUGACAGCAGAAGUGGCGUCGGCAUACCAGGAGUCUGCUGAGCAGGCUGGACUCGCGGGACAGCGCGUGGAUGUCAUGCUGACACUCCACUUCACUCAUCGAGUACUGUAAAUUAGCUGAAUAAACAAAUGUUAUGA